UAUGAUGUCAUUACUCCUCCUCCUCCCU
rnacentral:piRNA from 1 species